CCUGUAAUCCCAGCUAGUCAGGUUGCUGAGGCAGGAGAAUUGCUUGAACCCAGGAGGCAGAGAUUUCAUGAGCCAAGAUCAUGCCACUGCACUCUAGCCUGGGCAACAGAGCAAGACUCUGUCUCAAAA